rnacentral:rRNA from 1 species
GACGAACGCUGGCGGCGCGCCUAACACAUGCAAGUCGAACGGAGUUAUUUCAGCAGAAGCUUUCGGGUGGACGCAGGGAUAACUUAGUGGCGAACGGGUGAGUAACACGUGAGGAACCUGCCCUGGAGUGGGGGAUAACAGUUGGAAACGACUGCUAAUACCGCAUGACGCUUCUUGGGGGCAUCCCUGAGAAGUCAAAGCUUUAUGUGCUGAAAGAUGGAUUCGCGUCUGAUUAGCUAGUUGGUGAGGUAACGGCUCACCAAGGCGACGAUCAGUAGCCGGUCUGAGAGGAUGAACGGCCACAUUGGGACUGAGAUACGGCCCAG